GUAUUAGAGUAGUAGUGGUAGUGGUUUGUGAAAGGAGCACACAAAUUUUGAUGCGAAGGAAGGUGUGAGAGAGUGUGUGUUUUGAGGCGAGUGGUGUCCUGAAAACUGAAAAGCGAAAACGAAAAAGAAGUGUGAACAGACGACAUUGGACACUUGGCACAUCCACCACGCCUCUCUUACGCAGCCAACCAACCCCUCCUUUUCUUCCCCCAAAACAUUACCAGAUCAGGAAUACCCCCUAAAAUUAAUACAAAAAUUAAAUACUACAGCUUUCAUUGAAUCGCCGUCAAACAAUAGGCAAACAUGAACUUCAAGAAUUUCGGCAACGAUCCUGGCCCUGCUGCCGGAGGAAGCGGAGAUGCUGGUGGGAGACCGCCGGGGAAUUUCCCCCUGACACGGCAACCUUCCGUGUACAAUCUGACGUUCGAUGAGUUCAUGAACACCAUGGGAGGUUCGGGAAAGGACUUCGGCUCCAUGAACAUGGAUGAACUUCUCAAGAACAUAUGGACCGCCGAAGAGGUUCAAACUAUGGCGUCUGCCACGGGUGUCGGCGGAGAACCGGGCUCCGCAGGCUUCGGCGGUGCCGGCAUCAACAAUUUGCAGAGGCAGGGAUCCUUGACACUCCCGCGAACCCUGAGUCAGAAGACAGUGGACGAGGUCUGGAAAGACAUUUCGAAGGAGUACGGCGGGGGGUCGACCGGUGGCGGCGGAGGCGGGCCGAAUCCCGCGCAGACGACGCAGCGGCAGCCGACGUUGAAAGAGAUCACGCUGGAGGAGUUCUUGGUGAGAGCAGGUGUUGUUAGAGAAGACGCGCAAUUGGCAGCUGCUGGGAAAGCAAACGACAGCGUUUUUGUUGAUUUGUCUCGUGGUGGAGGGAAUAGUGGCGGUUUAGGAGUAGGGUUUCAGCAAUUGAACAAGGUACCGGGGUUGAUGGGUGAUAGUGUUGGUGUGAACAACAAUGAUCCUCUGGUUGGUCUUCAGCCAAGAACAAAUUUGCCUGUGAAUGUUAAUGGGGUUAGGUCUUCCAAUCAGCAGAUGCAGAUGCAGAAUUCACAGUCCCCUCAUCAGCAUCAGCCUCAGAUAUUCCCCAAACAAGCUCCUAUGAGCUAUGCUAUGCCUCUUGUGCAAGGUGGAGGAGGAGGGAUGGGGAUGGUUGGUUUGUCACCUGGGCCUGUUCAUGUUGCUACUGGCUCGCCGGCUAGCCAGAUUUCCAAUGAUAAGAUGGCAAAGAGCAAUGGAGAUACUUCUUGAAGGUCAUUGAGAGGAGGCAGAGGAGAAUGAUCAAGAACAGAGAGUCGGCAGCUAGGUCCCGCGCUCGAAAGCAGAUAAGCAGAAGAAUGGUAAUGUGAUAGACAUGAAGAAAGGUGAAAGAUUUUGAGAAGUCAUGAGAAGGUGUAAGAAUUCCAGGUUAUUUACAAGGCUUAUACCAUGGAAUUAGAAGCAGAAGUUCAGAAGUUGAAAGAGGAGAACCAAGAACUUCAGAAAAAGCAGGAAGAAAUCAUGGAAAUUCAGAAAAAUCAAGUUAUGGAAAUGAUGAAUUUGCAACAAAACGGCAAGAGAAGAUGCUUAAGACGAACACAAACUGGUCCAUGGUAGAGUGAAAGAUUGGAUUAUGAUCUCACAGUUGAAAUCUAUGUAUAUAAAAUAUAAAAAUUGUGUUGUAGAUUGAGUCUCUUGUAGAUUUAGAUUAGCACUUGAAAAGCAUGAUCUAUUGUUUCUCUUAUUAAACAUCAUGCCCAGUUAGGGAGGUUGAGCACAAUACCAUCAGAAUAUGUUUCAGCAUGCGUCCAAUUUCAUGCCAUCGUUGGUUACAUAAUUUUUAUUUUCUUUUCCUUUUACGCGCCAUUGUUCAGUAGAAUCCGAAUUUGAUUCGGUGAGAGAUUGAAGCGUUUGUAUUCAAUAUAUGCCUUUCUCGUUUUCGGACUA